rnacentral:rRNA from 1 species
GAUGAACGCUGGCGGCGUGCCUAAUACAUGCAAGUCGAGCGAACAGACGAGGAGCUUGCUCCUCUGACGUUAGCGGCGGACGGGUGAGUAACACGUGGAUAACCUACCUAUAAGACUGGGAUAACUUCGGGAAACCGGAGCUAAUACCGGAUAAUAUAUUGAACCGCAUGGUUCAAUAGUGAAAGACGGGUUUGCUGUCACUUAUAGAUGGAUCCGCGCCGCAUUAGCUAGUUGGUAAGGUAACGGCUUACCAAGGCAACGAUGCGUAGCCGACCUGAGAGGGUGAUCGGCCACACUGGAACUGAGACACGGUCCAGACUCCUACGGGAGGCAGCAGUAGGGAAUCUUCCGCAAUGGGCGAAAGCCUGACGGAGCAACGCCGCGUGAGUGAUGAAGGUCUUCGGAUCGUAAAACUCUGUUAUUAGGGAAGAACAAAUGUGUAAGUAACUAUGCACGUCUUGACGGUACCUAAUCAGAAAGCCACGGCUAACUACGUG